GGGGUCACUUAAUUUGUUGGAAAGAUUUUGGUUGAUUUCCUGUAUAGAAUCAAUUGGAUUGAUUGUGAGCCCACUAAAAUAAUCAGUUGGGUUGAUUGUAGGUACUGGGUUUGGUCCCAAACCACUACAAAACUCUGUGUUUGUGUGUGCUUUUGCUUAUUGCUAUUUUGUUCUUAUUUAUUUCAGCAUACUUUCUAUUUUAAUUCAUUGUUUCCACUGCAUGCUUACUUAGUUUAUUAUAAUUAAGCACAUAUCAGGUUUA
rnacentral:lncRNA from 1 species